UGCAAGUCGAACGAUGAACCGGUUUCGGCCGGGGAUUAGUGGCGAACGGGUGAGUAACACGUGGGCAAUCUGCCCUGCACUCUGGGACAAGCCCUGGAAACGGGGUCUAAUACCGGAUACGACCUUUGGGGGCAUCCUUGGGGGUGGAAAGCUCCGGCGGUGCAGGAUGAGCCCGCGGCCUAUCAGCUUGUUGGUGGGGUGAUGGCCUACCAAGGCGACGACGGGUAGCCGGCCUGAGAGGGCGACCGGCCACACUGGGACUGAGACACGGCCCAGACUCCUACGGGAGGCAGCAGUGGGGAAUAUUGCACAAUGGGCGAAAGCCUGAUGCAGCGACGCCGCGUGAGGGAUGACGGCCUUCGGGUUGUAAACCUCUUUCAGCAGGGAAGAAGCGCAAGUGACGGUACCUGCAGAAGAAGCGCCGGCUAACUACGUGCCAGCAGCCGCGGUAAUACGUAGGGCGCAAGCGUUGUCCGGAAUUAUUGGGCGUAAAGAGCUCGUAGGCGGCUUGUCGCGUCGGAUGUGAAAGCCCGGGGCUUAACCCCGGGUCUGCAUUCGAUACGGGCAGGCUAGAGUUCGGUAGGGGAGAUCGGAAUUCCUGGUGUAGCGGUGAAAUGCGCAGAUAUCAGGAGGAACACCGGUGGCGAAGGCGGAUCUCUGGGCCGAUACUGACGCUGAGGAGCGAAAGCGUGGGGAGCGAACAGGAUUAGAUACCCUGGUAGUCCACGCCGUAAACGUUGG
rnacentral:rRNA from 1 species